ensembl:lncRNA
CAGGUUGCUAGAAAUGUCACCUCUUUGCGGUACACACAUGCAGAGUGAGCAGCUUCAGAGGGUUUGUGUUACUGUUGCUUUGAGUAAGGCAGCAUGCUUUGGAACUCUGGAAGGGCUUGUGGAGCUGGUUUGGGGAUAUUGCUGAUUUUCUUAGUUCAAGCAGAGCAUGUGUGCUGUUCAUGGGCUACACAAACAUAUAGCCCCCAGAUGCGCAACGGUAACAGAUAUGUUGGCUUUCCACAGCAAGAUGGUAGACUAAGAAGACUGGAUGGCAGCUAUUCCCAGGAUCAAAUCAGACAGGCCUUCAUUUCUCCACGUGUAGCUCACAGCAGUAGCCUCAGCACAGGGACUACAGUUAACAGAGGCUAUAGUGAAGGGCUUUCUGCUAGCAGCUAUGAACAGACUGCUUCAGAACCAGCCCGAAACUUGGUAAGGUUAGUACAGAGCAGCUUGAUGACAAAACCUAACUGGUACACAAAUGUGAAGAGCGUUAAUUCUCAAGAGGUGCCAAACCGCUCCCCUUUUAGACUUUCUGCUGUUGCAGGUAGGAACUCGCUGAAUAGACUUGGUGAAAACCAGAACAGCCUUCCUGAUAGCAGAAAGGAAAUGACUUGGCCAUUUCAGCGUGGUACACUCCAAACUAGCAAGGCUGGAUCCAGCAGCUCUGCGUCUCUUCAAACUCUUACAGGAAGCUCCUCUUUUAAACCAGCCUCUUUCCAGAAACCCGCCAGUGCUGUUGUACGGGGGCAAACAUCAGCAAGCGCUCCUGCAAAACGGGUCACUCAACAUAAGUCUGAACCUUUGGGUAUCUCUAGAGACUUCGCUGUCCAUGGAUUUGGGGAGACAUGGCUUCCUGUGAAUACUGGAAACACCCAAAUAGGCUACAUGCCAUCUUCCACUUCGAACAUGAUGGUGAGCUACAAACCCAGCUACACCUUCACAGACCAGAGGCCCACCAGUAGCAACCCUCAAGCACCAUGGGGAAUCAGGAAUCCAGCUCAGGAACUUCAUAGUCUGCCUGCCUAUGGAAGUAACACGGUGGGAAAUUUGGCUCAACGCUUUGCUCCAACCAGGAUCUAUGAGGUCCCUGAACACUUUGGAGGCUAUGCUAUCAGACGGCUUGGUGACGAAGAGGUUGACCAGGUGCCACAAACUACCACACCUCCCCCACAGCAGAUGGAAUAUCUCAACCCAAGCAAAUCUGAGCAUCCGUAUGCCAAAUGGAUGAGAAUCAAGUUGCGUCCAAGAUACUAGAAGGGUCUCUCCUAUCAACAGGUGCAGCAAGAAGACAUGACUGAACAUUUUCUUAAAUAAAUUAUUGAAUUG